AUUGAACGCUGGCGGCAUGCCUUACACAUGCAAGUCGAACGGCAGCACGGGAGCAAUCCUGGUGGCGAGUGGCGAACGGGUGAGUAAUAUAUCGGAACGUGCCCAGUCGUGGGGGAUAACGCAGCGAAAGCUGUGCUAAUACCGCAUACGAUCUAUGGAUGAAAGCGGGGGAUCGCAAGACCUCGCGCGAUUGGAGCGGCCGAUAGCAGAUUAGCUAGUUGGUGAGGUAAAGGCUCACCAAGGCGACGAUCUGUAGCUGGUCUGAGAGGACGACCAGACACACUGGAACUGAGACACGGUCCAGACUCCUACGGGAGGCAGCAGUGGGGAAUUUUGGACAAUGGGCGAAAGCCUGAUCCAGCAAUGCCGCGUGCAGGAUGAAGGCCUUCGGGUUGUAAACUGCUUUUGUACGGAACGAAACGGUGAGCUCUAAUACAGUUUGCUAAUGACGGUACCGUAAGAAUAAGCACCGGCUAACUACGUGCCAGCCGCCGCAGUAAGAC
rnacentral:rRNA from 1 species